GAGUCCUGUAAAGAAUAAGUACUAGUUAAGAAUGGUAUAUCGAAAUUGGUGACCAGACACCUCAUCAUACGGGACAUUUCAUCAUUAUAGCAAUUCAUCAUUUAGGGUUAGGGUUAACUUGCUCAGUAUGUUACUUACUUAAUUACACCUACAUGUACUUAUGUUUGCAAAAUGCACUUUAUGCAAUGAUGAAAUGUUAUUGUGAUGUAAUGUUGCAAUGAUGAGAUGUCAGGAAACCACCAAAAUCAUAUCAUUAAGUUUGUGAUUAUCAGAUGGUGUGUGGUGGUUGAGUUGAUUUCUAAACGAAGAGGGUCUUGCCUUCAAUAGAACAACCCUGACAACGAGCUCUAAUGGGUACAUGACUUUAGUUAGGGAAAGUUAGAAAAUAUUGAUAGGCCAAACAUAACAAUAAAUUGGAGGUGAGGAAAUAGAGGAUUAUAGGAUUAAUAUUUGUAAGUACAUUUUGCUUCUAUAGUCAGAAUAGACUACAAAAGUAUAUGACAUGCAUUU